rnacentral:rRNA from 1 species
UACGAAGGGUGCAAGGCGUUACUCGGAAUUACUGGGCGUAAAGCGUGCGUAGGUGGUGAGUUAAGUCUGUCGUGAAAGCCCCGGGCUCAACCUGGGAAUGGCGAUGGAUACUGGCUCGCUAGAGUGCGGUAGAGGAGAGUGGAAUUCCCGGUGUAGCAGUGAAAUGCGUAGAGAUCGGGAGGAACAUCAGUUGCGAAGGCGGCUCUCUGGACCAGCACUGACACUGAGGCACGGAAAGCGUGGGGGAGCCGAACAGG